ACUUCCGGAAGGAACGCUACUUCCUGAUGAAAAGCCGAAAAGCCCGCUCAACUCCCUCGCAAAUUAACAGAUGCAACGGCGAACAUCACGUACAAUCCAGUGACACAUCAUGUGACAUGGCUCCAUCAUUAAAUCGAAAAUUGCUGUCAAUGAUUGAAGGACGUCAAACAAAGAGGAAGAAAUUGAAGUUGAUUAAAUGGCUCCAGAAAAAAAAAAUUGCUUAAAGCUAAAAUGAAGUGCAAUUUAUGCCAACAUAAAAUGAAGCUGACUCAUAAACCCAACAAAGCAGACAACUAUGUUUGGUCCUGUACACGAAACAGACAUAAGGGAAGGUUCAAGUCAGUGAGGUAUGGAUCACUUUUUGCCAAGUCAAAGUGUAAUUUAUUCUCAUGGAUGAAGUUCAUAUAUCGGCCUUCAGUUGAGACAAAUCGACAUGAUUGAAGAUGGCAUUGCUGGAAGCUCACGUACACUCAGCAGCAUGGCCAAAAAAGUUCGAGCUAUUUGUAAAGAAUCCAUGAAGUUGUAUGCCAGAAGGAAGGGCCAAAUGAUAGGACAACCCAGGGAGUUUGUUAUGAUUGAUGAGAGCAACUUCCGUCACAAGCGAAAGUAUGGACGUGGAAGGUUCGCAAAGACUUGGCGUAGAAGAAAGUGGGUCUUUGGGAUGCUGGGGGUUGCACCAAGAAAUAGCAAGCCUAUUCUGAAACUCGUUCAUCGAAGGUCCCGGAACCAUCUUAUCCCACAUAUUGUACGACAUGUGCAUCCUGGAAGUUCCAUACUUAGUGAUGAAUGGCGUGCUUACAGAGGGGUACUAACCGAUCUUGGCUAUAACCAUUUUCCUGUGAAGCAUAAUCAGUGUUUUGUAGAUCCAAUAACAGGCAGCCAUACACAAAAUCUGGAAAGAGCAUGGUUAACUUACAAAGGAAAAAUAUGGCGUCUUAGAGGAAAUAGGACAGAGGACCUACUAAAACAACAUCUAAAACUGAUAGAGUGGACUUACUGGCUUGGAAAUCGGUACAAAAAUGGUCCUCUUGGAAGACUGUUGAAGGAUAUUCAUCGAAAAUAUCACCUUUAAAACACAAAACUGAUAACUCCCGAAGCCCAUUAUUUCUCCAGCCUAACUUGACCAUGCUGGCUCACUCCCAGAUCAUCCAUAUUUUUACUCUUUUGAAACACCUCUUCCAUAGUCCCAUUCAUUGAUACAAACAGUAUAUAUAUUUCUAUAUUUCUUAUUUUGUACAUUUUGUAAUUCUGCUGCAGAUGAUUUUUCUUGCUUCACACACUACAGUUGUACAAAUGAAUUUCCAAUUGUCUUUUUAUUAAUUUGUAAUAUGUAUACAUU